GGAGGAUUCAAGCGCUAUCCGGAUUUAUUGGGUGUAAAGGGUGCGUAGGUGGCAGGGCAAGUCAGAUGUGAAAGCCCGGGGCUCAACCCCGGUACUGCAUUUGAAACUGUCCAGCUGGAGUGCAGGAGAGGUAAGCGGAAUUCCUAGUGUAGCGGUGAAAUGCGUAGAUAUUAGGAGGAACACCAGUGGCGAAGGCGGCUUACUGGACUGUAACUGACACUGAGGCACGAAAGCGUGGGGAGCAAA
rnacentral:rRNA from 1 species